rnacentral:lncRNA from 1 species
UUGUUUAGAACCUUUCCUAUUUGUCAGAAUCUCAACUUACCAGAGAAGAAAAAAAAAUACGAGGGUUUUGAAGUGCUUAGUUCAUUGGCGUCAACCUACUAAUUGCUGCAGGUAAAAGCUUCACAAGCUUAAACCUUUUGUUUUUGUGUUGAUUUCUAAGAGUUAGGAUCCUAUUAUUAGUAUUUACUUGUUGGGUUGGAGAAUAUUGUGAACCAAAAUUGGUUGUUGCAGUGGUGAAUUAAUUUGUUUGGAGAGUUGAGGCUAAUACGGAUUCAAUGAUUAAUUUUGAUGAGAGUGAAAUAAAAGAGGAAAUAUCACUGUGUUAUUUCUAUCGGAACCGUUAGGCAUGGACUGAUGCAUGAAAUUGAAAAACAGUAGAAUAGUUGGAUAAUUAAUGAUGUGUAAUGCCAAUAAUUAAUUAAUCAAUGGGCAGUAAGUUGUUAAUGAUCGUAAUGUUGUUGGCUAGUAUAAUAAUGGAUGAUUGAAAGUGAGAAAUUUGGAGAGAAUUGUGGCAAUUAGUAGUAUUCUAACGUGGGUUAUUAAAUCUGAUGGUUUGAUGGUUUGAGAGUUUGUAAAGGAAACAACAAUACUAACAAAUUAAGUUCUAGAACAUUUAGAUUGUCCACAAGUAUAGCAAAAUUUUCAAUUAGGCUAGUUACUGCACCUUUGAUUUAUGGGCAAGUAGUAGAUCAUGGUUUGGUUACUGUUUCAUAUAGCUUAGCUUUAGUUUCGAGCUCUUUCUAUAUAUAUGUAUUGUCAUCAUAUUAUGAUUUGGAUUUUGACAUAUUGGUAUAUAUAAUUAAAUAUUUAGUUAUCUAUUAAUAAAAAAAAACUCUUGAUUUGAAACUCGAUUAUUAAUUUUGACCCCUUUACUUACGAGAAAAAAAAUUAAUAUUUGAAUAGAUUGGGCUCGUUCAUAGGCGAUUCGAAAGGAUAAAGCUUCCAUCUAAUUUUGUUGAUUUUGGAUUUACUUUGCGGGUCUCCUUUUAAGGCAAGUUGAGACUUUCCUUAGAUUCUAUUUCAAAGUGCUUAUUUGAAUAGUUGUUAGUUGUGUAAUGGGAGUAAUGGAAAUUGGGGUCUCGUAUAGGUGAUUGUGACGAGCAUCUAUACGGGUACCGAUGUUGUUUGAGGGGAUAAAAUAAGCUAAUUGUAUGUUUAAACUAUUUUUCCCUAUUUGCUAGUCUGAUGGACUGAUUUGUUAUGGUAAAUAAAUUAUUGAAAAAGCUAGCUAAUGAUGAUAUUUUCACUUGAUAAGUUGAGUUGGACUUGAAAUUGUUGUCUGAUUCGGUUUAAGACAUAAAGUGCUUUGCUUGACUUUAUUGAUGAUUUGGGAUAGGUGUUGCACGUUUGCACAUCAUGCAUCGUAUUUCAUAUAGGAUCGGAGUGCACGCCUGCACAAUACAAUAUAUAUUUAUUGGGAUCGGAGUACAUGCCUGCACAAUAUAUUUAUUGGAAUCGAAGUGCAUGCCUGCACAAUAUAUAUUGGGAUCGGAGUGCAUGUCUGUACAGUAUAUUUAUUGAGAUCGUAGUGUACACCUGCAAAAUAUAUUGAUUGAGAUCAAUGUGCACACCUGCAUAGUACGUGGACCUUGUGAGUCCCCCAUGGGUCCUAAUCUUGAAGCCAUUGCUCGGUAGGUGUGUACACCGCAUAUGCAUUGCAUUACAUUGCAUCGAAUUGCAUUGAUUCAUUUGGUUCAGAUUGGUUAAAGUGUAUUUGUUGACCUUGUACUUAUUGUAUAUGUGUUAUUUAUUUCACUGGAUUGAGAAAUUCCUAGAUUGUAUUAUGAUAUCCUUAUGACUGUUAAACUUGACUAUUCAGUUAGAUUUAGGUGGUUUUGCUGAGUGCAGGUUGUAUGUUUGUUUUUAGAUGAUUUAUGUGGUGUCACUCGUCACCACUUUGAAUUAGGAGCGAUCGACGAUGCUUGCUGAGUACACGUGAUUCCGUACUCACUCUUGCUUUUUCUGCACUCUACGUGCAGGUACAGAUUUGACAACCUCCGGAUAUUGAUUCCUGUGGUUCCUUCUUUGCUAGCAUUAUUGGAGAUUCGAGGUAGCUGCUACUGGCUUUGGAGACUACUGAAAUCUCCUUUAGCCUUGUCUUUAUGCAUUUUCCGCAUUUUGAAAGACUCAAACUUUCUUAUGGCUUUGUAUUUA